CUUGCGCAUUAUCUUCAGAAAGAUGUACGUGGGUGUGUAUACUGUAGUACUUGUGGUCCUACUUUCUGUCUCUUAUCAGGAAGUUACUGGGCAAGCAUGUACGCAAACAGACAUAAACCGUGUGACAAACUGCACAAUUGCUCGGUUCAAAACGAAGCUGGCAGCUAUGAAAUUGAAAUGUACACUAACUGAUGCAGAAAAGCAAACCAUGUACAAAUAUCUGGCCGACACAAUAUAUGAAAUUUUGGGUUUGAGUGCACAAGGCUGCAAUGGACUCAAAAGUGUUUUGGAUGGACUCGCCCAAACUCUUCGUGGUUUAGGUUGUACAGUUUCGAGCAUACUGUCUUGAUUCAUACAUAACUUAUGGGCUUAACUUUGUAUCAGCAACAGUACAUAUAAGAUACUUUCCAUAUUUCUUGUGAAUACAUUUUUGAUCGACAUUUUCUAUAAGUGGCGAAAUAUAAAUAAAUUGCAACAUAAGUAAAA